rnacentral:tRNA from 1 species
UAACAAAUAGCUUAACUUAAAGCAAAGCAUUGAAGAUUCUUUCAUGGUAGUAUAACCUUUGUUAA